rnacentral:rRNA from 1 species
GAUGAACGCUGGCGGCGUGCCUAAUACAUGCAAGUCGAGCGAAAAGAUCCGGCUCUUGCUCCUUUGACGUUAGCGGCGGACGGGUGAGUAACACGUGGAUAACCUACCUAUAAGACUGGGAUCUCUUCGAGAAACCGGAGCUAAUACCGGAUAACAUCUUGAACCGCAUGGUUCAAUAGUGAAUUGCGGCUUUGCUGUCACUUAUCGAUGCAUCCGCGCCGUAUUAGCUAGUUGGUAAGGUAACGGCUUACCAAGGCAACGAUACGUAGCCGACCUGAGAGGGGGAUCGGCCACACUGGAACUGAGACGCGGUCAAGACUCCUACGGGAGGCAGCAGUAGGGAAUCGUCCGCAAUGGGCGAAAGCCUGACGGAGCAACGCCGCGUGAGUGAUGAAGGUCUUCGGAUCGUAAAACUCUGUUAUCAGGGAAGAACAAAUGUGUAAGUAACUGUGCACAUCUUGACGGUACCUGAUCAGAAAGCCACGGCUAACUACGUG